rnacentral:lncRNA from 1 species
UUAUGGUGCUGACAUGCUAAGGACUAAGCCACGAGCCUCCAGAUGUAUAUGUAUAUACAGAGAGGAAUAUAGAUGUCAAAAUUUGAGUCUAGAUAUGCUUUUUUUUAAUGCAUGACUCAAGAGUUUUGUGCGUUGGCACGUAUAUAUAAACACACUCAACUUUGUAAGAGCUUUUACGUAUAUGCAUGCAAACAUAGGUAUGCAUAUUAAAGGUGUGUAUGUACAUAUACAUAUUCUUACUCAUACGUACUCAUCAACUGUGAAUUAGUGGGACAGCGACUUGGGGGUCGAUAUGAGAGUGUUAUCUCUCAAAUCGUGCAAUAUGUUAUUAAAGUUCUUCAUAUUCCAAGAUCAAAUACCACGCUGGUUCGACCCUUCAUUUUAUCCCACACGAGGUCCGAUUCCAUGAAUUCGCUAGAAAUAUCCAGAUUAAAAAUUAGGUUGUGCCAAAAGUUCGUAAACACUUGCGAAAAUUGAAUUUUUACUUGCCAAGUACUAACAAAAGCAACAAAAAUUAUUCCUCAAAAUAAAGACCAUUAUUUUCCAAGACUUUCUACGAACUUUUGGGACAACCUUAUAUGGAAAAUAUAGUUUAGUACAACUUCAGGACGACUUUUUUUUUUUUUAAUCAGGAAUAGUGAAUCGCACCUGCGCUAAAACCGACAACUAGGUCAUUGGAUGAUCUCGUUCUCGAAGAAUUUUCAUUUCAACACUUUGAUGAACAGAAAUUGCAGUCGAGAGGUGUCAAUCGUCUUAUCAAAAGGCAUGUAAAUGUGGUUAAGAAGCUCACUUUGCAACCACGAUGUUUAAGCUUCAGUCCCAACGCGUAGAAACACGGGCAAGUUUUUUCUACUAGUGUCCCAGACAGACCAACGCCUUGUAAAUGAAUCUAGAAACUCUAGAAAACCAACCGUAUGUGUCUGUCUAUCUAUCUAUCUAUCUAUCGGGCCGGGACCUAUGGGCAAUCACCAGAGAUCCCGGGCCUGGCAGUGCUAUCGAGAAGCAUUACCCGUUCGGGAUAAGCUCUAUAGGCACGGUUCGAGACACACCGGACCGACUUGCCCGAGAUGCGGUCAGAGCGACGAAACCGUUCUACACGCGCUCGUGCAGUGUCCAACCAUUUCGGACCUGUGGGCUUAUACCGAACGGCUGCUGUCACCUGUGGGACGAAUUCUCUUGUCGGCCGAGUCUAUCGUGAAAAUUGCUCCGUCUUCAUAACUACGGUGAAAGAAUGUGCGUGGUGGACUUGAACGAAAGGCUUAGAGACAAACUCUUACGUUUCUGGCCAAUCGCUCAUCAACUUUUUCAAGUACCACUUGAAAAGGAAGGUGAGAAUAGAGAGGCAACUUUUGUCUCGUGAAAGUUUCAAUAAAAGGUGGGUGAGUGUAGCAAAGACGGUACGUCCGAAUGCUGAAACCACUUUCAGCAUGAUCCUGUAAAUCGAAAAGAGAGAGAGAGAGAGAACAUUUUGCUCUCAUGUGUUUAUUCCCUCCCUGCCUGAGGUAACAGUGGGCUUUUCCGUAGGCUUUUCUUUCCACGGAUAAACCUAAUCUUGCUUCUCACAUUUAAAAAAUUUCUUCUGUGAUACACGAUCCCUUUUGAUUUGAUCGUUUCUUUUUUUUUCUCUCUCUUUUUUUCACGAUACCUUUUGAUCGGAAUUUUUUUUUUUCCUUUUUUUUUUCAAUUUUCGAAAACAAAAGCUCUACAUUGUAUUUUGUCCCCUCUGUGUUCGGCCCUGUGUAGCUAAUUAUCUAUCUAUCGAUCUAUCUAUCUAUCUAUCUAUCUAUCUAUCUAUCUAUCUAUCUAUCUAUCUAUCUAUCUAUCUAUCUAACCUACCUACCUCCUACCUACCUACCUAUCUACCUACCUACCUACCUACCUACCUACCUACAUACCUACCUACCUACCUAUCUAUCUAUCUAUAUCUAUCUAUCUAUCUAUCUAUCUAUCUAUCUAUCUAUCUAUCUAUCUAUCUCUUACCUACCUACCUACCUACCUACCUACCUAAUUAUCUAUCUAUCUAUCCGUCUCUUUGUCUACCUAUUUACCCCAUACCUACCUACUUACCUACCUCCUACCUACCUACCUACCUACCUACCUACCUACCUACCUACUUAUAUCUAUCUAUCUAUCUAUCUAUCUAUCUAUCUAUCUAUCUAUCUAUCUAUCUACCUACCUACCUCUCUCUCUCUAUAUAUAUAUAUAUAUAUAUCUGUCUGUCUGUCUAUCUAUCAUUAUAUUUAUCUGUCUAUAUACAUAUGUAUGUAUGUGUGUGUGUGUGUGUGUGUGUGUGUGUGAGCGUGUGUGUGUGUGUGUGUAUGUGUGUGUGUGUGUGUGUGUGUAUGUGUGUGUGUGUGUGUGUGCGUGCGUGUGACCCACACCACUUGGCAACUAGUGUCAGUUUGUUUACGUCCCCGUAACCAAGUGAUUCGACCUAAGAAAUCAGCAGAAUAAAAACCAGAUUGAAAAUUAUAUAGGCGCAGGAGUGGCUGUGUGGUAA